CUCCUAAGUCUUCACCUAGCUGAGGAAUCUCUUAGGUCUCAAACUACAUCCUCUAUUUUACAGAGGUCUUCUCUGAUCCCUCAGCAUAAAUUGGGUAAGCCCCAUGAGGGUGAGACUAUAAUUGUUUUAUUCAUCACUGUGUAAGCAACACCUAGCACAAUGCCCGAAACAGAGGGUAAUCAAUGAAUAAUUUUUUGAAUCAAAAGUAGAUCAAAGUGUUUCCUUGAUUAUGCUAAAGGUUUCACAGUAUUUCUGUGACCAGGCUACUAACAGAGAGAGAAUGAAUAAUUUAGAAAAAGGAUACAUAGGCAACUUCAGUUUAGGUGGUGUGCAGCAUAAAUUAAAGGAUAGAAGCACAGCUCAAGGAAAGGGAUUUUUAAAAAUUCUCCAAGUCGCCCCAUGAGUAUGAGCUGGAUGCUAAAUGUGGAAGAGGCUUCGUUUCUCAUGCUCCUUGAUUCUACAUCUCUGUGCAGCCUUGAAGGACACGUAUAACACGACCUCUUCUCAUUAAGACAGAGCAAAGUGAUUGUGGGACUGGGGAUCUUUUUGUUUUGUUUGAGACAAAUUGUGUACAUGUAGAACUGAAAUGAUGGGGGACAACUCUGUUCUUCACAAUGAUUUUCAAUCAAAUAAAUGUUGACUAAGAACGCUUUAUAAAUAAUAGUAUAGUAAUGCACUGUGAAAUAAGGAGUGGUCAUUGAAAGGAAAAGAAGCCAAAUUUUGAAAUCAAGAGGUUACCUAACUUUUCAAUACAAAGCAUGUCUUCAUUACUGUCAUUAAGUCCUAUAAUGGAAAUAGAAACAUUCAGCAUUCAUAGAAUGAUAGGCAUCCUUGCAGUUUGGGAUCACACCUGAAAAAUGCGACAUAGGCUUACGGGAGGCAAUUAUUUGAUACACUUUUGAGAAGUAGGAGUUAGGUAGAGAGGAGCGUUAGAAUAAAAGUAGGUAUGGAAGGUUGUAGGGAGGAAGGUUUGUUUAUUUCUACCCACAAGUUGAAUCAUUUCCCAGAUGUCAAAUCGCUAGCCAGAUUCCAGAGGAAACGGCUGUUGACCUUUAUUUCUUGUUCUCCACCAUUGAACCUCUACAAUUCCAAAACUGAAGUUUCACUUUCAAGUUGCUUUUGGCAGAGGCACUGCGGGACACUCCUCUGCCCCAGCUCUUCCUCUGUAACAUUUGGGGCCUCGACUGUCCUUAACAGAUGUGUCCUGAAGUGCCCUUUCCUGGAGUAACAAGUAAUAGGGCUAAUACCUAAGUUUGAGCUCUCAUCCUGUUCCAGGUGCUGUGAGCUAAGAGCUUUUGUAUGGAUUUUCUCAUUUAAUCCUUAUUAGAUAUUUCUGAUGUAGGUAUUAUUAUCAUGUUCUCCAUAUUGUGGGUAAUAAAACUGAGGCUUAGAGAAGCUAGGCCGCUUGACUAGGGCUAUACAACUAGUAAGUAGCAGAGACCAGCUCUGAACCCAGGGAGUUUGAUUCUAAACCUUGUACUGCCUCUCCUAAUGGCUGGCCAUCAGGGAAUUCACUCUCCGUGAUGGACGUAGUGUGAGCUUAAUGGACAGAAUGGAAGAUGAAUGUUAAAUGCUAUAUACCUGCAUUAGACUGACAUGCGAGUGAGAGUGCAGCUGCAUAAACAGUCUGUAUUGCUUGUUCUCCACGUGCAAAGUACUCCCUGGAAUCCUGCACCUACUGCGACCUGCCCAAAUCUGGGGAUCAGACGUGUGGAUGGGAACUGGAGGACUGUCACGAAGGUCAUUUUGUAGCCUUGUUCCUCAGGUGUCUGGAAGAGAAGGAGCUGGUAGACAGCCUAUUAUUUCCCUCCUUCUCCACCUCUCAUGGGGUGAAUCGGCAGGUACAAGCUCUUUGAGAAAAAUAGCGGGUAGAAGGGACUACGCGCUCACCACCGUCUCUCUGGGACCUUGCUCUGGACUGAAAUCCCCUGAGAACUGCACCUGAGUAGAAGGCUGUACACCUUCAAGCUUUUUCUCUGAAUCAUUAAUGAAGGAGGUUCUGGGAAGUCUUCGCCUACACAGGGAAUUCCUGAGGAACACUUUUCAGAGACGAAUCGACUCACUGCGGUUGCACCUUAUCCAUUGACCAGUGAAUCAGGAAACAGUUCAGGUGUCAGCUUCUGAAAAAUCUCCACUCCAGCUCCAGGGAUGAUAUGCUCUUCUUGUGCACCCACACGGCACACUGAGAGUAUGGCUCUGCUGUUGAACCUGUCACCUCGCAUGGAAAUAAUCUUUUACAUGUCCAUCUCCCCCCACAGUAAAUAGCUUGAGGAUAGAAAAUUUGUUGUAUUCAUUUCUAUGUCUUAGCAUGUAAUAGUGAUCAGUGUCUGUGUCUUUGAUCCAAGCUAAGAGCUUCUCUGGGAAGGUCAUCUUGGUCUGAACUUUCUUCUCCAAACUCCAAUGGCAUUUAUCCUAUCCCUUCUCACUUAAUAUCCUUUUGCUAAUUCCUGUGUAUGGACUCUCUCUUGGAAGUGACUGAAAAUCCAACUCAUAUCAGCUUAAGCAAAAAAAGGAAUUUAUUGGAUCAUUAAUCUAGAAAUCUAAAUUGUGGAGUUGUCUUCAGGAAUAACUGGUUUCAGGAACUCACCAGAUGUUGGCAGGACCUGGCUUCUGUCCUUGACUUAGCUCUGACUUUCUCUGGCACAUACAGGCUCACAUCCUCCCCGCGUUCAAGUCCAGGGGAAAAGAGUGUGCCUCCCUCUCCUUCUCCCCCUCACUCCUGUAAAAGCUUGGGGAUUGGCUCUGAUUGAGUCAUGUACCUGUGUGGCCCAAUAAGGCAGAGAAACCAAAUGUCACUGUUAUUGCUGCUGAAAGAUAAUUUAGAGGACUAUCUUAGUGUGAGAGCAAAUAGAUUUAAUAAACUGAACCUGAGAAUAUUGUAGAUUAGCUACCAGGUCAUGACAACAGUAGAUUGACCCAAGUCUUUCCUGCCGCCCUUCCUUCUUCUGUAAAGGCUCAGCCUGUCCUGGGGAGCAGAGCAGGCUCUGUGUUCUCAUAGACCUAGCUCUUCAGAGAACACCUGGAGUUGCUGAGGUGAACAUGCCCAGUCUUUUCUUCCCAAGUGUAACAAUCAUAUAAAUCUCUCCACCUCUCCUUGGGCUGAGGGAGGAAUGGGGAAAAAGAAUGCUCGUUAUGAGACAGGAAUCAGCCUGAGACAAGGCCAUCUGCAAGGCCCCAGGUCUAACAAGAUAAGGCCCUAACAAGAUUGGCCCUAACCAAUCAGCAGCCUAGGAGAAUCAGACAGAGACCACCAAGAUCCCACAUUCCACAGCCUCUGGACUUUCCUGGGCUUGCACAUGCACCCUAGCACCCAGGAGUCCACUGAAGGUGACCCUAGCCCCAUUAACAUAGUAAAAAUCACUCCCAGGGGUGGAGAGCUAGUAUGCUAAUGACAAUGUGCCACAUGAGGUGGCGUGUUGAACAACAACGCAGGCACAAGCAUAACCCCAUCUCUACAUGCCAUGACAGAAGACACAUCCCCUGCCCCAGCCUGAUAAAAAUCCCCUCAAUGUGGCUCUUUGGGGAGCCACUCGCCUCUCUCUCUCUUCUCCCCUUUCUGUGAUUGGCUCCCUUGUGCACAAGCUGAUAAACUUUCUAUUAUCUCACUCUUGCUUGCUGUCUCUCUUGAUUUCCAUCUUCAGGGAGGACAAGAACCCAAUGUGCUGGUAACAAUUAGAAUAUUUGAGUAUCCUUAAAACAUAAGGGAAAUAUCAAGAGUGAGGAAGAAGCCAUUCUCUUCUAAUAGUGUCCUUCCCUGAACCAUUCUCUGUGACCAGAAGACAGCAGAAUCACCCAUGCUGGGUCACAUGGACACCCCCAAAGAGGCAGAAAUGAGCAAAAAUGGGUGUCCUCUGAAAGAAGUGUGGAAGCAUAAAAGAAAUCAUAACUAAAUUGGAGUCGAGAAGGCCUGUAGGGGGAGGUCUCAUGCCCUACCACAUAUGGUCAAUUACACCAAACAGGAAGAAACCCAGGGCUUGCAUCUUGGACAGGAAGUAAAACUAUUUUACUAUUGAAUGAAGACUUCUCUCCCCACCUGGCAACAGCCCAGCCAAAGAGGAACACAGCAGCUCAGCCAAUGAGAAGCCAUUGCUGCUGAGAACUGUUACUUUCCCCCAAUGGACUUUCUUUUAGAAGCCCCCUCCCUACGCUCCUUUUUCUCUCUAAAGGCAGCUUGCCUUCCUUGUUUGUUGGAUUUGCCUAUGGUUUGCCAUAGCAUGCACAUCCCAAAUUGCAAUUCUUUUGGCUAUUCCUGAGGAAAUUCGGUUUGAGGCUUUUCAAGUCAACGGAAGCAACUGAGACGGCAAUUUCUCGUGAUUUUACAACCCCCAUAUAUCAGUUCCUCAUGAGGCCAAUUACAUGAGGUUGUGGGUUUGGUGCAGUAAUCCUGGAUCCUUAUAUUAAGUUGCACUUCUCUACUUACACAGAUUUGAGUGGCUUUUUGUUCAUCACAACAGAAGGAGCGUUGGCUAAACCAGGAGACAAUGGAUCUGGGCUCUAAUUUUAUAUAAGAGGAUAUUUGUUGAGGAAUUCUGUUUAACAGUGGGGAACUGGGAGCAGUUUAAACGCACCAAACAGGCAAAGGUUCAGUAAGUGAUGGUGCGGUCAUACACUGGAAUGGCAUCAGCCAUUAAAAAGCCUAUUUUCAGAGACAUUAAAGAUUGGGAAAAUGUACAUGACAUUCUUUAGGACGAAGGAGUCUUGUGCUUAGUCAUCUCUUCCUCUGAGGUUGUAAUUUCUAUUAUGUCUCACUUCUUGCCAUUUCCCUUGAUUUGCUUGAAACACAAUUCAUAGGCACUCACAUAGAUGAGACGUCAUCAAACAUGCAGGGGUAUAAUGGCAAGGGGUUUGCAUCACAGGCUAGUGGGACACAUCAUGGCAACAAUGUAAAACUGCAUGUUAGACAGUCUUGUUCUUGUCCCUCAGGAAUUCCCAACACUGGGAACUUCUCAAUGGCAUUGCUCUCCCAGGUCCUAGCCUUUCUGAUCUUGAUGGAACCUUUCUCUUUCUCACCAGUCUUUGCUUACUCCUGCUCCUGGCUCCUUCAGUCUUCUCUUAGGCUCCUACAUUGUCCAUGGAAUUUCAAAAUCCUUUGACUUAUUGCAAAGCAAUCUAAUUUUGUCAUUCUUCUGCUUUCCAUACUAUGUCCUGG
rnacentral:lncRNA from 1 species